rnacentral:rRNA from 1 species
CGGAGUGGACGCAUCACUGGUGUUCGGGUUGUCAUGCCAAUGGCACUGCCCGGUAGCUAAAUGCGGAAAAGAUAAGUGCUGAAAGCAUCUAAGCACGAAACUUGCCCCGAGAUGAGUUCUCCCUGACUCCUUGAGAGUCCUGAAGGAACGUUGAAGACGACGACGUUGAUAGGUCGGGUGUGUAAGCGCAGCGAUGCGUUGAGCUAACCGAUACUAAUGAACCGUGAGGCUUAACCUU